AACGUAGGUCACAAGCGUUGUCCGGAAUUACUGGGUGUAAAGGGAGCGCAGGCGGGAGAACAAGUUGGAAGUGAAAUCCAUGGGCUCAACCCAUGAACUGCUUUCAAAACUGUUUUUCUUGAGUAGUGCAGAGGUAGGCGGAAUUCCCGGUGUAGCGGUGGAAUGCGUAGAUAUCGGGAGGAACACCAGUGGCGAAGGCGGCCUACUGGGCACCAACUGACGCUGAGACUCGAAAGUGUGGGUAGCAAACAGG
rnacentral:rRNA from 1 species